rnacentral:rRNA from 1 species
UCCAGCAGCCAUAUCACCCUGCAACUAACAGCUGGCAGCCCACUGAAGCUCAGCAGGUGUGAGCCUGGUCAGUACCUGGAUGGGAGACCUCCUGGGAAAAACCUAGGGUUGCUGCUGGAA